rnacentral:lncRNA from 1 species
UUGGGCUGCGUUCACUCUUUGCUAUUAUGUAUAAUGCCAGGAUGGUCAUUUAUGAUUUUUUUUUUUUUUUUGCUUGGACAUUUCAUGUCUUUUGGAUGUCAUUUAGGAGUGAAAUUGCUAGAUCGCUGAGUCUGCAGUUAAUGAUUUGAACAAGUGCCCAAAUGUUCAUAAAGCCAGCAAUACUGUCUUCUACACUCACAUCUCUGUAGUUCUAACACGUCCAACCUGCCUUUGUUAUCUGUUGUUUCUGUAGAGACCAGUUACUACAUCAUAGCAGCGUUGACAGUCAUUGGCUGGACAGCAGAUGAUGGUGGGCAUCCCUUUGUGGCUUACUGAGCAUUUGCGGAGUUUCUGUGGGAGAACUUCUGCCUAUUUUAAAUCUUAUUUGCCAAUCUAUUACUGAGUUCCAGUAGUCAUUAUUUAAACACAAGUCCCUAACACAUAAAGUGAUAUUUGCAUUUUCACUUAUAGGUUAGAGUUUUAUUUCUGGAAUAUCUACUAUAUGUAUCUCAUUAAUCUAUGCACUCGUCUUUAAAUCAGAACCAUAUUGACAUGAUUGUUGUAACCAUGUCUUUAAUUUUGAAAUAAAAGUUGUAUUCUGUUAAGCUUGUUCAGUUAUUU